GUGCAAGAAAAGAAAACUAAAGAUUUUCAAAUUAAAGAAAAAUAUGCAUCAUGUUUUCGAUAAUAUUUUUGUGUAUCUUUUUAUGUAACAUGGUUUGAUCAAUUUUUACAAUGUUCCCCAUCUAAAUUGGCAGGAAAAAAAUUUAUAAAAAGUAUACAGUUUUAUAGCAAGUUAAGUUAACAAAUCUACUUUUAACGAAGCUUGAAAUAAAAAGUUUGCAAAAUAGUGUAUGUAUAGAUUUAUGUUCUGUUGUUGUUCAUUUACUAUAAACAAGUAUAUGAAUUUGGAAAUGGAAAUUUAGUUCAACGCCAAUAGCAAUUGUGAUAAAGUAAUUUAAGAUCAUUUAAAGUUCAGUCAAGCAACACCUGAAAAUGGUCAACUUUUUGUUUAAUAUAGAUUGCUGUUCCAAAUACAAGUUGCAGAUAUGAUCCAAUACUUUAUGUCAAGCAAGGUUCAGAUUUUAAACCAAACAAACUUACUAUCUGUUGAUCUUCUGCUUUGUUUUGAAGUUAUGAGUUCAGAUAGAUAUAUGUUUUGUUCAAAGCAGAUCAGCCAACCAUAUAAAGGACAGAUAAAACUGACCCUCAUCUCAGGCUUAAGGGUCAAUUAAUGCAAUUUUUCAAAAGCUUUUUUGAAGUAUGCAACCCUGAUGUCUUGAUGGGCACAAUCACAUGGAAGUAAUGUAAUAUUAAAUUAAAUAUUAAAGUAUAAAAUUUGCAUUUA